CAGCCGCCGCGGUAAUACGUAGGUCCCGAGCGUUGUCCGGAUUUAUUGGGCGUAAAGGGCUCGCAGGCGGCUUCUUAAGUCUGAUGUGAAAGCCCCCGGCUCAACCGGGGAGGGUCAUUGGAAACUGGGAAACUUGAGUGCAGAAGAGGAGAGCGGAAUUCCACGUGUAGCGGUGAAAUGCGUAGAGAUGUGGAGGAACACCAGUGGCGAAGGCGACUCUCUGGUCUGUAACUGACGCUGAGGAGCGAAAGCGUGGGGAGCGAACAGGAUUAGAUACCCCUGAGUCCCUGUCUCUUAUACA
rnacentral:rRNA from 1 species